rnacentral:tRNA from 1 species
GCCCCGGAGUCUCCGUUGGCGAGGGACGCGGGCCUUUGGAGCCCGAGGUCGCCGGUUCGAUUCCGGCCGGGGC